rnacentral:rRNA from 1 species
UACGUAGGCAGCGAGCGUUGUUCGGAGUUACUGGGCGUAAAGGGUGUGUAGGCGGUUGUUUAAGUUUGGUGUGAAAUCUCCCGGCUCAACUGGGAGGGUGCGCCGAAUACUGAAUGACUAGAGUGUGGGAGAGGUGAGUGGAAUUCCUGGUGUAGCGGUGAAAUGCGUAGAUAUCAGGAGGAACACCUGUGGCGAAAGCGGCUCACUGGACCAUAACUGACGCUGAUGCACGAAAGCUAGGGGAGCAAACAGG